rnacentral:rRNA from 1 species
CCUACGGGGGGCUGCAGUGGGGAAUAUUGCACAAUGGGCGCAAGCCUGAUGCAGCCAUGCCGCGUGUGUGAAGAAGGCCUUCGGGUUGUAAAGCACUUUCAGCGGGGAGGAAGGCGGUGAGGUUAAUAACCUCAUCGAUUGACGUUACCCGCAGAAGAAGCACCGGCUAACUCCGUGCCAGCAGCCGCGGUAAUACGGAGGGUGCAAGCGUUAAUCGGAAUUACUGGGCGUAAAGCGCACGCAGGCGGUCUGUCAAGUCGGAUGUGAAAUCCCCGGGCUCAACCUGGGAACUGCAUUCGAACUGGCAGGCUAGAGUCUUGUAGAGGGGGGUAGAAUUCCAGGUGUAGCGGUGAAAUGCGUAGAGAUCUGGAGGAAUACCGGUGGCGAAGGCGGCCCCCUGGACAAAGACUGACGCUCAGGUGCGAAAGCGUGGGGAGCAAACAGGAUUAGAUACCCUUGUAGUC